CGGCUGCACACCCGGCCGGGCUGGCCCGGGAGAGGACAUCGGCACCCAGGGGUCUUCUGUCCUUGAAGUGGCUCCGCACAACUGGGGACGCAUCUGCAAAUUACAAAUUGAAAAAAAGCAUGCGGAGGCGCCAUCUGUGACCACGCCCGGGGGGUGAGGAAAAAAUACCUGUCCCCAGGGGCCUAUCUCCCGAAAAUAUCACGGGGUGCAUCAACACGUACUUCCUGGAAACGGCGCGCGGGAACAAGCCCGUCCUCCCGGGACUGCAGUUACUGUGAAAUUAGUCUUGCCAGGUUGCGGAGCUGGGAGGGCACCGGUCGUCACGGACAACCCAAGGCGGCAGCCUGUGAUUGUUCUCUGGUGAAAAGCACACUUGCUCUGUCCCCUUCCAGGUCCUCCUGAUGUGGCAUUGAAUGGUGGCCCUAAAAGCUGUGUCCACCUCCCGACCCCAGGACCUGGGACGGGGCCCUACUGGAAAUGGGGCCCCAGCGGAGGGAGUCGGAGGAGGAUUAGAGACGAGGCCGUCCUGCCUCAGCCUCCUGACUCCAAAGGCAGCGUCCUCAGGGGAGACAGAGGAGGAGAUGCAGACACAGAGGAGCAGAGCAGCCGUGUGGAGACGGAGGCAGAAACUGGAGCGGUGGGGCCACAGCCCAGGGCCUCCUGGAGCCCUGGGAGGAGGCAGAGGCAGGAGGGUCUCCCAGGAAAUGAGGCUGGGACACUGCAGUCUCAGCCUCCUGGGUUCUAGGAUGGGAAUGGACAGAUCCUUGUGGCUUUAAGUCAGCCACCUCUGGAGCCCCAUUCCUGGGCAUCUGAUCCUGUGGAUUUCUCUAUCUGUUUUACCUUCCAUUGGGCUGCUGUGGCCUCUGUGCGUCACCUACGGGUUUUGUCUUCCUAACCUGCUACGCAUCGGAUUUUCAGUUUCAUGUUAGCUUCCUGGAUACCUUAGUUGCCCUUUAGAUUGAUUUCCUUACUUUUUUUGUUUGACUUUGGUCUUUUGGGUUUUUUUUACAAAAUAUUUUUAUUACUUUUACAGACUUUCUUCUGCACAUCAGAAAGUCAAAGGAUACGGAUGCUGAAACUGUGAGAGCCACAGACAAGCACCGACUGCAUUCGCGAGUCUGUUGACUUUUUUACAAAACAGAUAUUUUCAUCCAGUGGUCUUAUUUCUGCAGUGCUGAGGAUUGAACCCAGUGCCUUUGUAGCGAGUUACAUCCUAAGCCCCUUUUUAAACAUUUUUGUUUUGUUGUUUUGUUUGGAGAUGGGAUCUUGCCGAGUCCCCUAGUUCCGCAGACUGGGCUCCUAUUUGGGACCGUCCCGCCUCAGCCUCCUUGAGUGCUUGGGAUGCAGGUGAGCGCCACCAGGGCUGCUCUCUUCCCAUCUGGAUGAACGGAACGACAACCUCGCUCUGUUUUUCUCUCCUUUUUAGAUAACCAAGAUAGAAAUGUCAUUUUCUGAGCACGUCAGAGACGCGGGCUUCAGACAAAAGCAGAAGUGGGACAGGCAGGGGGGGACCCCAGCGCGGUGUCAGGCGAGGGCCCUGCCUGUGGGGACGGAGGCGCUGCCCACGAGGACCCUCAGCUGCUGGCAGGGAGCCCGGGCGGGGUGCUCCACUUGUCAGAAGCCGGCAGCUCCUAGCGGAGGGACCGGGGCGAAACAGCCCCCAAGAGGACUGUGCCACCGAGGAGCCGUGGUUUCCCGAAUGCAGUGCCAUGUUGUGAGCCCGAACCUUUCCAGGACGGGUGGACGGGUGGACGGGUGCAUGGGUGGCUGGGGUCCCCUUGGCGAAGGUCACCUUGAGCCCCUGGUCCCGCUGGUCCUCAAGCCCAAGGAAGGCUGCGGUCCUCCGCCAACACCAGCGACCCUCCCAUCCGUGCGUGGCCUGCUUUCCCCGUGGUCGGGGGCAUCCUCGUGCACCUCUGGGCGCUGUGAUGCCCGACAUUCGGGGCAUCAGCAGGUUGUGUAAGAGAUUUCCCUGCACUUAGACUGCGACCAGGGGAGCUGGGACCAGCUGAGCGCAGGGUGCUAUGAGAAAUUAAUCGUGUUCGAUCAGCUGGCUGGUAAGCAUAGCCUCUCACCACCAGGCCCCUGCGAACAGCACCGUGGACUCUAGGAUUCCUCCCUGUACGGCCCUCGGCUGAGCACAGCUGAGCAGCACUCAGGAGGCUGAGGCAGGAGGGUCACUGCCACUGGGCAGGGCUUCCGGACGAUGCAUCACGAAGCAUGGUGAGCCGGAUCCACCACCUCCCGGCCUUCAGCACUCCACCUGGGAGAGGAGGAAGACAGCAUGACAGUGGGCAGGGUUGUAGCUCAGUGGUUCAGCAGCCUGCUUCGCAAGCGCAAGGUCCUGAGUUCGAAUCUCGGUACCCCCCGAAAAAGAAGCAAGUGUGAAAGAAAGUGACAAAUGGCGCAGCUGAGACACGUGCCCACCCACGACCGGGCUGACCCGGGCAGUGUCCAGCUGGGGGCUCGGACGGAGCCUGGCUGUACACAGGGCCCUGCCCGGUGUUGCACGACUGAGCUCUGGCUGGCGGGAGACCCAGCGGGGCCCAAGGCGAUCCGUUCCUCCAGCAGCAGCCAGCAGGGCCGAAGAGGGCUCAGCGCGUCCUCCGCCCGGCCCGCUCCUUGCCCUGCUCUCCUCCAGCUUUUCCCGGGGGAGCCCCAGUGCGGCCCCCGGACUUUAUGUCGCCGUCUCAGGCCCUGCUCUCCGCGCUUUGGGGUCGCGAACGCCCUGCUGUUUCUCCUCUUCCUCCUAAGCAUGCAGAGCCCUGGAGACUGAGGGGAUAUUCGUGGAGAUUUGGAAGGGGAAACACCUGAUUUCUUCUGCUGAUCUGCUUGAUCUGCUCGAGAACCGCACAGGAGGAGGGAGGUGCAAGAUGAAAGAGAGCGCUUGCCCCAGGGGUACAGAAGCGGCCUUCACUUGAAUUGCAAAGUGUGGAGCCAGAGAACCCACCUCCUCUCUCCCUCGGCUUCAUUGCACCCGUUUGGCGCAGACAUCGCUCCAGAACCACGGGAGGCUGAGACAGGAAGAUCACAAGUUCGAGCCCGGCCUGGGCAACUUGCUAACUUAGUGAGACACUGUCUUAAAAUUUAAAAAGAAUGAUAUAUAAUUUUUUCUGGAGAUGGGGCCUCGAUAUGCGGUUCAGACUGACCUGAACUCACUGUGUAGCCCAGGCUGGCCUCAAACACAC